UCAAUUAAAUAUUUUAUUCAUCAUCUAAUUCACUUUAUACUAUUUUUGGUAUAUUUUCAAAGUUGGACUACUGUUACUGUCCAAAUCUGUUUUAGUAUAAAACGUUGAUAACUAAGUUUAUAACAUCUUCAUUUCUUCUCUCUACAACAUUUACCAACAAUUCCUCUUAUUACUCUUCACUAACAUAUCAAAACAUACCAAACUUAAGGUUUUGGUAACAUUUACAAAACAUACCAAAAUAUCACUUAACAACUUAGAUACUUUCAAAAUAACCAAAAGACAUCCUAGGUACAAUGCCAUUUUCUAAAAAGAUAGAAACUUCACCAAUUUGAGUUUGGGGAUCGGCUUGUAUGCUGAGUCCUUAUACUUUCGUACCUAGCCUGCGCACGGAAACAAACCGUACGCUGAGAAUACUCUCAGUGGUAUUUCUAUAAACAAUAGCUUAAUCAACUUUAAAACAUGGUAAUUCAAACACAUUAUUGCUAUUAUUCAAUAUCAAUCAGUACUUUAAUAACCUUUACUUUAUUUACCCUUAUUAACAUAACUCGAACACUAACGGAUACACGGAUCCAACCCACACUCCGGGAUAAGCACAUAGUGCUUCAUCGGAACAAAUUCGGAACUUUAACAUUAUAGUACACAAAGUACUUCAUCGGAACAAAUCCGGAACUUUAACAGUAGUCGACACAUAGUGUCUCAUCGACUCAAUGUCGGAAUAUCCCAAUACUUCUAAUUCCUAUGACAUGUCAACUAUAUCCGACUAGCCCGACACUGUUAAUAGGGUAUUCAAAAUCACAUUCAUUUCAAUAUGGUAAAAAUACUUACCUCAUUCACAUUUUCAUACAAUAUAAAUAUCAAAUAUAGCAAUAACGAUUAAGCUCGGUUUAUAGAAAUACAAACCACUAUUUAUCGAAUUUAAUCGAUAUCUUCGUUCACUUUCUCUUUUCCCUUCUUUGAUGACGUAUCCGGUGCUACGUUUGCUACUAACAAUCAUACAAUUAAAAAU
rnacentral:lncRNA from 1 species